rnacentral:rRNA from 1 species
CCUACGGGCGGCAGCAGUGGGGAAUAUUGGGCAAUGGGCGCAAGCCUGACCCAGCAACGCCGCGUGAAGGAAGAAGGCUUUCGGGUUGUAAACUUCUUUUCUCAGGGACGAAGAAAGUGACGGUACAGGAGGAAUAAGCCACGGCUAACUACGGGCCAGCAGCCGCGGUAAUACGUAGGUGGCAAGCGUUAUCCGGAUUUACUGGGGGUAAAGGGCGUGUAGGCGGGACUGCAAGUCAGAUGUGAAAACCACGGGCUCCCCCUGUGGCCUGCAUUGGAAACUGUAGUUCUUGCGUACUGGAGAGGCAGCCGGAAUUCCUAGUGUAGCGGUGAAAUGCGUAGCUAUUAGGAGGAACACCAGUGGCGACGGCGGUCUGCUGGACAGCAACUGCCGCUGAGGCGCGAAAUCGUGGGGAGCAAACAGGAUUCGAUACCCCAGUAGUC